GUGGGGAAUAUUGGACAAUGGGCGAAAGCCUGAUCCAGCAACGCCGCGUGAGGGAUGACGGCCUUCGGGUUGUAAACCUCUUUCAGCGGGGACGAAGUUUUGUCUUUUUGGGCGAAGUGACGGUACCCGCAGAAGAAGCACCGGCCAACUACGUGCCAGCAGCCGCGGUAAUACGUAGGGUGCGAGCGUUGUCCGGAAUUAUUGGGCGUAAAGGGCUCGUAGGCGGUUUGUCACGUCGGGAGUGAAAACUCGGGGCUCAACCCCGAGCCUGCUUCCGAUACGGGCUGACUAGAGGUAUGCAGGGGAGAACGGAAUUCCUGGUGUAGCGGUGAAAUGCGCAGAUAUCAGGAGGAACACCGGUGGCGAAGGCGGUUCUCUGGGCAUUACCUGACGCUGAGGAGCGAAAGUGUGGGGAGCGAACAGGAUUAGAAACCCGUGUAGUCC
rnacentral:rRNA from 1 species